rnacentral:rRNA from 1 species
GACCCGACUGCUAUUUGGGUGAGGAUAAACCAUGCGGGUUGUAUGGGAUACCUAAAUUUCCCAUGGCAAACUGCUUAGUAACACAUGAUCAACUUACCCUAUGGAGAAAUAUAACCUCGGGAAACUGAGGAUAAUGUUUCAUAGUUGAAUAGGCUUGGAAAAGUUUUUCAAUGAAAGGGAUAAGAAAAAUGGUUCUUAUCUGCCAUAGGAUAGGAUCGUGCUCGAUUAUGGUUGUUGGUGAGGUAACGGCUCACCAAGCCGAUAAUCGAUAGGGGCCGUGAGAGCGGGAGCCCCAAGAUGGGUACUGAGACAGCGACCCAGGCCUUACGAGGCGCAGCAGGUACGAAACCUCCGCAAUACACGAAAGUGUGACGGGGUUACCCAAAGUGUUCUUAUUGAACUGUGGCAGGUGAGUAAUGUCCCCUGCUAGAAAGGAGAGGGCAAGGCUGGUGCCAGCCGCCGCGGUAAAACCAGCUCUUCAAGUGGUCGGGAUAAUUAUUGGGCUUAAAGUGUCCGUAGCCGGUUUAGUAAGUUCCUGGUAAAAUCGGGUAGCUUAACUAUCUGUAUGCUAGGAAUACUGCUAUACUAGAGGGCGGGAGAGGUCUGAGGUACUACAGGGGUAGGGGUGAAAUCUUAUAAUCCUUGUAGGACCACCAGUGGCGAAGGCGUCAGACUGGAACGCGCCUGACGGUGAGGGACGAAAGCCAGGGGAGCGAACCGGAUUAGAUACCCGGGUAGUCCU